GAUUCUUCAAACAAGUCUGGAAGGUAAAGCCUUGUGUAGAUAGAUUAAUCACUAUUUCUUUCACUAUUUUCGAAAUUAUAGAUAGAUAAAAAAAAGAAAAAAAAUAUUUACUAUUAUAUAUAUAUAUAUCUAUUAGAGAUUUAUUAGGAAGGAAUUUGAUGUUAGGAGUUUUCAAGGCUCCUAAGACAAAUGAUGUAGUAUAAAAGAUUGUCGAACCAGUUCUGAGAGAAAUCAAAGCACCGAGAAUGCAAGUACUCACUUAAUCUAAGUGCAACCAAUGAUUUGAUGGGUUUUAAACUAUGACUAAAACUAAAAAGCAAUAACGGAAUGAUACUUUCUUGACUAUGGGAAAAGAGA
rnacentral:lncRNA from 1 species